rnacentral:lncRNA from 1 species
UGUGUAUCUUGGAUAUGUGAGAAUGGCGAGUUUUCCAUGCAUGAGGGGAAGCCUUUCAUUUGUAACAAAGUCUUCCAGAAACAGACACAAACAACUGAAGGAACAGAGAAGAAUGUAAAAGUCCUUUGAUUCCCUUAUCAAGGGGAGCCUGGGAAACCAGGCAGGAGGUGGGUGCAGCGAGUUUCAAGGUCCUUUGGUUGAUUGCCAUCUGCCCGCUGGACCACGCAGCCGGCCACCCCACUCACACAGCAGCUGGUAGGUGAAGCCACAAGGGCCUCUUCCCUGGGCCGUGCCUGACGUCACCCAGCAGAACUUCCAGCAGCUUCCCCUCUCCAUCUGGGCCACCCAAGUUCUAAAAUGAGGAUGAUGGACCCCAUCACUUCAUGGAGUUGUUGUGAGGUUAACCGAGAUGAUUAUGUAAAAUGCUGAGGUUGGUGUCUAGAAUAAGAGCUUGAUGAUGAGUGAUGAUCACCAUUGUCACCAUCAUCACCACCACCACCAUCACCACCACCACCACCAUCACCACCACCAACAUGAUCACCACCACCACCACCACCAUCAUCACCAUCACCACCACAACCACCACCACCACCUUCACCACUGAUCACCAUCACUGCCACGAUCACCAUCACCACCAUCAUCACCACCACCACCAUCACCACCAUCACCAUCAUCACCACCAUCACCAACACCACCAUCAUCACCAUCACCACCAUGAUCACUUAUGUCAUCAACACCACCGUCCCCUCCCGCUCCUCCUGGGAUGGCUGUGGCCGGGAGCUGGGGUCCGUGGUGGAGAACAUAGAGAAGGCUCUGGCUUCCCCUGAUAUUGCUUGCACUGGGAGAGAAAAUGCCUCUGCCACCAGCUUUCUCUUCCAUCCAGUGGGGAGGGCCGCGCUCACUGACCUUUCCUUUCUCCUGACUUCUUAGAACUCAGCAGCUGCCAUCGCUGACUACAGCCACAAGAGCACGGUUUCACCCACAGGUGUCCCAUGGAACAUUAUUUUAAGAGGUGCUAGUUGGGGGUAAGGGCAGCAAGAAAGGACGCGUAUUUGGGAACGCCACCUUCUUGGAGAUGCGCAGGGCAUGUUCACGGAGGAGCGUCUGCAGAGACCAGUUUAUGCUGCUCAAAGCUUGUGACUCUAUG